UACGUAGGGUGCAAGCGUUAAUCGGAAUUACUGGGCGUAAAGCGUGCGCAGGCGGUGAUGUAAGACAGUUGUGAAAUCCCCGGGCUCAACCUGGGAACUGCAUCUGUGACUGCAUUGGCUGGAGUGCGGCAGAGGGGGAUGGAAUUCCGCGUGUAGCAGUGAAAUGCGUAGAUAUGCGGAGGAACACCGAUGGCGAAGGCAAUCCCCUGGGCCUGCACUGACGCUCAUGCACGAAAGCGUGGGGAGCAAACAGG
rnacentral:rRNA from 1 species